rnacentral:tRNA from 1 species
AAAAAUGAAAUCAAUAAUGAUGUUUCAUUUACAAUGAAAAUUUUGUAAAUUUUUUACCAUUUUUU